GAUGAACGCUGGCGGCGUGCUUAACACAUGCAAGACGAACGGGAAAUAUUUCAUUGAGACUUCGGUGGAUUUGAUCUAUUUCUAGUGGCGGACGGGUGAGUAACGCGUGGGUAACCUGCCUUAUACAGGGGGAUAACAGUCAGAAAUGGCUGCUAAUACCGCAUAAGCGCACAGAGCUGCAUGGCUCGGUGUGAAAAACUCCGGUGGUAUAAGAUGGACCCGCGUUGGAUUAGCUUGUUGGUGGGGUAACGGCCCACCAAGGCGACGAUCCAUAGCCGGCCUGAGAGGGUGAACGGCCACAUUGGGACUAAGACACGGCCCAGACUCCUACGGGAGGCAGCAGUGGGGAAUAUUGCACAAUGGGGGAAACCCUGAUGCAGCGACGCCGCGUGAAGGAAGAAGUAUCUCGGUAUGUAAACUUCUAUCAGCAGGGAAGAUAGUGACGGUACCUGACUAAGAAGCCCCGGCUAACUACGUGCCAGCAGCCGCGGUAAUACGUAGGGGGCAAGCGUUAUCCGGAUUUACUGGGUGUAAAGGGAGCGUAGACGGUGUGGCAAGUCUGAUGUGAAAGGCAUGGGCUCAACCUGUGGACUGCAUUGGAAACUGUCAUACUUGAGUGCCGGAGGGGUAAGCGGAAUUCCUAGUGUAGCGGUGAAAUGCGUAGAUAUUAGGAGGAACACCAGUGGCGAAGGCGGCUUACUGGACGGUAACUGACGUUGAGGCUCGAAAGCGUGGGGAGCAAACAGGAUUAGAUACCCUGGUAGUCCACGCCGUAAAC
rnacentral:rRNA from 1 species